rnacentral:rRNA from 1 species
GUAGGGGGGCAAGCGUUGUCCGGAUUCAUUGGGGCGUAAAGCGCGUGUAGGCGGUUCGAUAGGUCCGAUGUGAAAACUCGAGGGCUCAACCUCGAGAGGCCAUCGGAAACCAUCGGACUAGAGUCCGGAAGAGGAGAGUGGAAUUCCUGGUGUAGCGGUGAAAUGCGCAGAUAUCAGGAAGAACACCGAUGGCGAAGGCAGCUCUCUGGGACGGUACUGACGCUAAGACGCGAAAGCGUGGGGAGCGAACAGGAUUAGAUACCCUGGUAGUCCACGCCGUAAACGAUGGGCACUAGGUGUGGGUGGUGUCGACUCCAUCCGUGCCGCAGCUAACGCAUUAAGUGCCCCGCCUGGGGAGUACGGCCGCAAGGCUA